rnacentral:rRNA from 1 species
UACGUAGGGUCCGAGCGUUGUCCGGAAUUACUGGGCGUAAAGAGCUCGUAGGCGGUGUGUCGCGUCGGCCGUGAAAACCUGCAGCUUAACUGUGGGCUUGCGGUCGAUACGGGCAUCACUGGAGUUCGGCAGGGGAGACUGGAAUUCCUGGUGUAGCGGUGAAAUGCGCAGAUAUCAGGAGGAACACCAAUAGCGAAGGCAGCUCGCUGGGACGUUACUGACACUGAGGCGCGAAAGCGUGGGGAGCGAACAGG